UACGAAGGGGGCUAGCGUUGCUCGGAAUUACUGGGCGUAAAGGGCGCGUAGGCGGACAGUUUAGUCAGAGGUGGAAGCCCAGGGCUCAACCUUGGAAUUGCCUUUGAUACUGGCUGUCUUGAGUUCGGGAGAGAUGAGUGGAAUGCCGAGUGUAGAGGUGAAAUUCGUAGAUAUUCGGCGGAACACCAGUGGCGAAGGCGACUCACUGGCCCGAUACUGACGCUGAGGCGCGAAAGCGUGGGGAGCAAACAGG
rnacentral:rRNA from 1 species